UACAGAGGUGGCAAGAGUUGUUCGGAAUUACUGGGCGUAAAGGGCGCGUAGGCGGUCUUGUAAGUCCCGUGUGAAAUCCCUCGGCUCAACUGAGGAACUGCACGGGAAACUGCUUGGCUUGAGUUCGGGAGAGGGAAGCGGAAUUCCGGGUGUAGCGGUGAAAUGCGUAGAUAUCCGGAGGAACACCGGUGGCGAAGGCGGCUUCCUGGACCGACACUGACGCUGAAUCACGAAAGCGUGGGUAGCAAACAGG
rnacentral:rRNA from 1 species